rnacentral:rRNA from 1 species
GACGAAAGUCUGAUGGAGCAACGCCGCGUGAGCGAAGAAGGCCUUCGGGUCGUAAAGCUCUGUUGUUAGGGAAGAACAAGUAUCGGAGUAACUGCCGGUACCUUGACGGUACCUAACCAGAAAGCCACGGCUAACUACGUGCCAGCAGCCGCGGUAAUACGUAGGUGGCAAGCGUUGUCCGGAAUUAUUGGGCGUAAAGCGCGCGCAGGCGGUCCUUUAAGUCUGAUGUGAAAGCCCACGGCUCAACCGUGGAGGGUCAUUGGAAACUGGGGGACUUGAGUGCAGAAGAGGAAAGCGGAAUUCCACGUGUAGCGGUGAAAUGCGUAGAGAUGUGGAGGAACACCAGUGGCGAAGGCGGCUUUCUGGUCUGUAACUGACGCUGAGGCGCGAAAGCGUGGGGAGCAAACAGGAUUAGAUACCCUGGUAGUCCACGCCGUAAACGAUGAGUGCUAAGUGUUAGGGGGUUUCCGCCCCUUAGUGCUGCAGCUAACGCAUUAAGCACUCCGCCUGGGGAGUA